GAUGAACGCUGGCGGCGUGCCUAAUACAUGCAAGUCGAGCGAACGGACGAGAAGCUUGCUUCUCUGAUGUUAGCGGCGGACGGGUGAGUAACACGUGGAUAACCUACCUAUAAGACUGGGAUAACUUCGGGAAACCGGAACUAAUACCGGAUGAUAUUUUGAACCGCAUGGUUCAAAGGUGAAAGACGGUCUUGCUGUCACUUAUAGAUGGAUCCGCGCUGCAUUAGCUAGUUGGUAAGGUAACGGCUUACCAAGGCAACGAUGCAUAGCCGACCUGAGAGGGUGAUCGGCCACACUGGAACUGAGACACGGUCCAGACUCCUACGGGAGGCAGCAGUAGGGAAUCUUCCGCAAUGGGCGAAAGCCUGACGGAGCAACGCCGCGUGAGUGAUGAAGGUCUUCGGAUCGUAAAACUCUGUUAUUAGGGAAGAACAUAUGUGUAAGUAACUGUGCACAUCUUGACGGUACCUAAUCAGAAAGCCACGGCUAACUACGUG
rnacentral:rRNA from 1 species